rnacentral:lncRNA from 1 species
GCGGCACCGGCGAGCGGCGCUGCGGGACGGGCGACGGGCAGGAGGGGAACUCAACUCCCGAAGCCGGCCCAGCUCCUCCGUCAGCUCGGUGUAGGCCAGCGCCAAAUUCACCCUGAAGUCAGAGGGCAGUGGGAAAGACGAGAAGGGCAGUGGGUCUACCGUCCCAGCUGUGGAGGAAGAACUGGCUCUACCCCAGCAUCUGGCCCCACCAUGCUCCCUCCCACCCGCAGGGCCCUCCUACCCCAAUUGCAGAAAUCCUCCCUACCUUUAAGGUCCAGCUCAAAAGCCACCUCUUCCAGGGAGACUCCCUCUGCAUCCUGAGACCCAUUCCCUGGGCUAGGGCAGUGGUUCCCAGCCUAAGUGCAGGGACAGGGAGCAGAGAGAUUCCAAGGGCUCCCUGAAUCCCUGCAUCAGGCACUGUCCGUGGUCUGAACACAGCUCAUACAGGUAUGUGUGAAUGUUUUUCUAAUCUGUGCAAAAGCUGUGAUGAUGAAUUAAAGCACCGAUUCAUCAAAAAGCUGUACUGAAUUUAUAGUAGCUUCUGUCACUGUGAAUUUUCUCAAGCAAUGCAUACUAAAAGUGUUAUAAUCUGUGUACUGGGAGUGGGAUCCAUGAAGAGUCCUCACCUUUGAAAAGGUUGGGGACCCUGCUGCAUAGAAUAGCUCGUUCCAUAAGUGAAGAUGGUUUCCUGGCUGGUGGAGGUGCUAACUGAUAAACUUAACCCCAAGCCAGCCCAAUUCCAUGUCCACUGCACCUGGCUCGACCUCAAAGCUGCCUCUGGGCUCUUUUCAGCUUUGCCCCUCCCAGGACCUCCUUGCUGUACAACUCCACCAGGGCCUUAACACUGAGAUCUUUGUGAACAGCUGCUGUACACUGCACACUUGCAGUGAGUGCCAGUCACACCAGGCACUUCUCAAAGGCUGCCUUGUUCUAGAACUUUA